GUCGUAACAAGGUUUCCGUAGGUGAACCUGCGGAAGGAUCAUUAACGCUAUCCAUCUCAACUCAACGAAGCCUUCAGUUGCAGCAGUGGUGCGUUCGCGUGCAGCUGCCGCAGCAACUUCCAAAACUAAUCCAAACAAAGGAGCCUAACUAAGCUCAACCACUAAAACCAAAUUCUCAACGGUGGAUGUCUUGGUUCCCACAACGAUGAAGAACGCAGCGAAGUGCGAUAAGCAGUGCGAAUUGCAGAACCGUGAGUCAUCAGAUUUUUGAACGCAACUGGCGCCGCGCGGGGUCACCCGUCGGCACGCCUGGUCCAGUGUCUUGUUCUCUCCUCACCCAAAUCCUAAUGCGAGAGAUGCCCUUCUCUUGCCAAGCAUGAAAGCACUCUGCACUCUGCGAGCGGCCUCCGGGUCGCACUCAAUGCAGCAGUCACAUUCCUCGUAGUGUGAACUCAUUGAGAGUGGAGGCAGUGCAGCAACAGCUGCCAGUGCUUAGACACACCAACUUCGGUACAGCAUCUGGGCUCAGGUGGGACCACCCGCUGAACUUAAGCAUAUCACUAAGCGGAGGAAAAGAAACUAACUAGGAUGGCCUCAGUAACGGCGAGUGAAGUGGCCAGAGCCCAAGAUGGUAAUCUCCGUGCCUGGCGCGGCGAAUUGUAAUCUAGAGGAGUCAUGCUCACCGGGUGGUGGCGCAGAAGUGCCCUGGAACGGGCCGCCAGAGAGGGUGACAGCCCCGUACGUGGUGCCGCCGCCUAACGAGCAGGCUUUCGAAGAGUCGGGUUGUUUUGUAUUGCAGCCCUAAGUGGGAGAUAAACUUCUUCUAAGGCUAAAUAUAUGUGGGAAACCGAUAGCGAACAAGUACUGUGAAGGAAAGAUGAAAAGCACUUUGGAAAGAGAGUCAAAAGACCUGAAACCGUUGAGGAGGAAGCGGUAGAGAUGAAUUCUACGGCAAGGCGCUGGGAGCUGGCCCAACCAUGGCAGGCUGGUCGUACGUCAAAGGCGGCCGCAGGCUAUCGGGGAAGCCGGUGACUUGUGCUCGGUCGUGAGGCCGGAUGGGGUGACGUGAUCACAGAGGCCUGCCGGGCCUGGCUUCAUUCGUGGGGCAGCCCGGUGGUGCCGGUGGCCGCGUGGCCUGAGGGUGCUUCGUGCGAUCCGGUCAAAAUGGUCUUUACCGACCCGUCUUGAAACACGGACCAAGGAGUCUAACGUACGCGCGAGUGUGCCGGUGGAGAAACCGACACGCGUAAUGAAGGUGAGUGAUGCCAAGCGCAAGCAGCAGCAUCGACCGACCAUGAACCUCCGGGUGAAAGGUUUGAGUACGAGCGUGUCCGCUAGGACCCGAAAGAUGGUGAACUAUGCGUGA
rnacentral:rRNA from 1 species